GGGGUGGGAGAUCGCUGGUGAGCCAAGAGAAGAGAGAGAAUUAAAAGCAGAACAAGGUGGAAGUAAAGGACAAUAAAGAAGGUGGGACGCAGGAACCAGUGCUGGCGACAGAGAUUGGCACGGGACCAUGCUCUCUCAGAGCAUGGCGUGGAGCUCAGAAGUCCUGGUCGUUUGGCUGCUGCUCCAGACACCAGAGUGCACACCCAAGAGGAUUGGCACCCAGCUCCCUUCUGCUCCGACCAUUGGACCACCCUGCCCUUCUACAGCUGGGUACAGAACCCAGGUUUCCUGACUGUACUGCUUCCCUAAACACGUGCUCCUUAGCUGUGCACCUUCUACAGAAGAGCCCUUUGAAGAGGUGGGGAUGGUCCGUUCCAUGCUUUUGCAGGCAGUUGUACCGCUGCAUGCGGUGUGGUCACUGAGAAGUAGACAGAGAUCUAGCAUUGGAGAAACAGCCCGACGCUAAGGACUGGCCACUCCUAAGAGUGAUUGGUUGCGUGCGGGUGUCUACAUGGCAUGUGUGUGUCUCCAUCCAGCCUGGAACAGGCCCCUAAAGUCCUUUCAUUAAGAACCGCCAAUGCAAGUGGAGAUGUCUCAGUGCCAGAGGGCUCAGAGAGGAUACCCUGGGGGAGCCAUGUUGGGAGGUAGGGGACCGACCUUCUGCUUUGGACACCUACCCGCAUGGCCUGGGUUAAUGGCCAUUCAUUAUUUAGAAGAUCCUGGGUGUGGAUUCCCUGAAGUGCUACUGUCAGUCCCUGACUGUGUUCAUCAAAGGUGACCAGGGCCCCGCAAAAUGGUCAUCUGCCCCUGGUAAUGAGAUCACAACAGUCCUUCAUUGCAGGCCAUUCUCCUCCCUCGCUUCAGUCAACAGCCUGAGAGCAACACUUUGCCGGGUCAAGGGGACAUGGAGCACUAACUACAGCCCUUCUACAAUCCCUGGAUGAGGUGAAAGGCCUAAUGUAAAGGACGUACAGUGCUGGGGGACAAUGUUCCCUCUAAUCUUUCUCAUCCAUGUGCAAGAUAAAUUUUUCUAGGUGCACCCAGGCAUGUGUGAAUGUGCACCACCAGUAGAAACAAAACCCUAGCUGUGGGCACUUUAAAUCAGCUGGGAGGCAUUUGACUCUCCUGAGUAGCCGCCCAAGCACACAACUUACAGGGAGCCCUGCUGGGAAAUCUGGGUACCGUGCAGCAGGCUGAGAGCCGGGGCCACGUUGGGGUUGAUUUGUGCAGGGACACCUAAUCAACCCCAUUCCCUCCUGUCCCACAGAGUUAUGCAGGAUAUACCUCUGCAGUGGCAUGCGUUCCCUCCUCCGCUUGAACCUUGUGUCUGCUGCUACGCAGGCAUUUCAGGAGCUGAUCUUCACAAGCAGCCCCUGGUUUAUGGCAGUUUGGUGGCCAGUCCUUCUCGAGCCACAGCGAGAACGGAAGCGGAACAGGCACUUUCUGGAGGGCUCUGAUAGUUGAUGCUUGAACAGCUAACGUGGGCUAAACACGCCAUGAACUUGAAGCAGGGGUCUGCUUUAAAGCCAGAGCCGUGCUGUCCGUGCAGAGUCGGUGAUUACGGCACAGAAGUCUCCAGGAGUCCCAGAGGUUGGGACAAGAGCAGAAUGUGGUGAGACAGGAAUGGGGCAAGUCAGGCAUCCUCGGUCAUAGGCUGCGAGUGUUAGUGGGAGAGUGGACGGGGCACACAACACUUUGGAGAGGAUUCUUAUUCUUGUGAAGGGAAACUGUGGCAAUCUUGACUUACCUGUCGGCCCGUGUUUUACUCCCCCUGAAUGGCCGAGACCCCUAGAACCAUAGAGCUGGAAGAGACCUCAGAAGGUCAAGUCCAGCCCCCUGCCCAAGGCAG